rnacentral:antisense_RNA from 1 species
CAGAAAGAAAAAUCUAUGGAAAGAUCCUGUGCUGGAAGAAAGCAUGAAGUAAUUCAAAUGACUAAAAGACUUCAUGCUGAGAAGAGCACUCAAUACUGCCACCGAAGUUCUGUUUCUGGUGUCGUUUUGUCAAUUAUGCUGAUGCCACGGGACCAUGGAACAGUGCCACUAUUUCCAAGAGCAACAGCAAAUCGAAAGAUCUUCAUGCAAUGGUUGUUCUAGAAAAGUCUAUUACAUUGGUUUAUGCUUUAAAUAUAGUUACUACCAGAAUAGUAAUUUUCCAAUCUAUCCUUUAAAAGUUGAAGUGUAUUAUUGCAUUUUUUAAGUUGCAAAAGAAUGAUGUACACACAUCCUUAAACAUAGUAUAUAAAAGCAAAUACCAAUGGGGAUUUAUGUGAUGAGAUUACUUAUGUAAAGAAAAUUAUUUGUCUUUGGAUUAAUAGUGCAAUUUAAAACUGGAAGUCAUUUUCUUUAAAAAUGCAUUCCCCAUACCAUUGAAAUAAAAAAACCAAAUGUAAAA